GUGUCAGCAGCCGCGGUAAUACGUAGGCAGCAAGCGUUGUUCGGAGUUACUGGGCGUAAAGAGUGUGUAGGCGGUUCUCUAAGUUUGGUGUGAAAUCUCCCGGCUUAACUGGGAGGGUGCGCCGAAAACUGGAGGGCUUGAGUAUGGGAGAGGAAAGCGGAAUUCCUGGUGUAGCGGUGAAAUGCGUAGAUAUCAGGAGGAACACCUGUGGUGUAGACGGCUUUCUGGACCAUCACUGACGCUGAGACACGAAAGCGUGGGGAGCAAACAGGAUUAGAAACCCCCGUAGUCC
rnacentral:rRNA from 1 species